rnacentral:rRNA from 1 species
GUCGAGAAUCUUUCACAAUGGGGGCAACCCUGAUGGAGCGACGCCGCGUGGAGGAUAAGGUCUUCGGAUUGUAAACUCCUGUCAUGCGUGAACAAGGUUGCUUGGUUAAUACCUGGGCAAAUUGAUGGUAACGCAAGAGGAAGAGACGGCUAACUCUGUGCCAGCAGCCGCGGUAAUACAGAGGUCUCAAGCGUUGUUCGGAAUCACUGGGCGUAAAGGGUGCGUAGGUGGCGUGGUAAGUCAGAUGUGAAAGCCCGGGGCUCAACCUCGGAACUGCAUCCGAUACUGCCAUGCUAGAGUACUGGAGAGGUGACUAGAAUUCUCGGUGUAGCAGUGAAAUGCGUAGAUAUCGAGAGGAAUACCAAAGGCGUAGGCAGGUCACUGGACAGUUACUGACACUGAGGCACGAAGGCCAGGGGAGCGAACGGGAUUAGAUACCCUAGUAGUCC